rnacentral:rRNA from 1 species
AGUGAACGCUGGCGGUAGGCCUAACACAUGCAAGUCGAACGGCAGCACAGUAAGAGCUUGCUCUUACGGGUGGCGAGUGGCGGACGGGUGAGGAAUACAUCGGAAUCUACUUUUUCGUGGGGGAUAACGUAGGGAAACUUACGCUAAUACCGCAUACGACCUACGGGUGAAGGCAGGGGAUCUUCGGACCUUGCGCGAUUAAAUGAGCCGAUGUCGGAUUAGCUAGUUGGCGGGGUAAAGGCCCACCAAGGCGACGAUCCGUAGCUGGUCUGAGAGGAUGAUCAGCCACACUGGAACUGAGACACGGUCCAGACUCCUACGGGAGGCAGCAGUGGGGAAUAUUGGACAAUGGGCGCAAGCCUGAUCCAGCCAUACCGCGUGGGUGAAGAAGGCCUUCGGGUUGUAAAGCCCUUUUGUUGGGAAAGAAAAGCAGCAGGUUAAUACCCCGCUGUUCUGACGGUACCCAAAGAAUAAGCACCGGCUAACUUCGUG